rnacentral:rRNA from 1 species
CAGUCGCCACGGGAAUACGAAGGGGGCUAGCGUUGCUCGGAAUGACUGGGCGUAAAGGGCGCGUAGGCGGCGAUCAAAGUCAGGCGUGAAAUUCCUGGGCUCAACCUGGGGGCUGCGUUUGAUACUUGAUUGCUAGAGUGGGGAAGAGGGUCGUGGAAUUCCCAGUGUAGAGGUGAAAUUCGUAGAUAUUGGGAAGAACACCGGUGGCGAAGGCGGCGACCUGGUCCUUGACUGACGCUGAGGCGCGAAAGCGUGGGGAGCAAACAGGAUUAGAGACCCCCGUAGUCCCUGUCUCUUAUAC